AGUUUAUCUGGGGCGGAUGCCUCCAAAAAAGUAACGGAGGCGCUCAAAGGUUGGCUUAGCUCGGAUGGAAAUCGAGCUUUAACGCGCAAAGGCAUAAGCCAGCUUUACUGCGAGAGGGACAACUCGAGCAGUCGCGAAAGCGGGACUUAGUGAACCGAUGCGCCCAUGUAGGAGGCGCAAAGAUCAACGGAUAAAAGUUACUCCGGGNNGAGACAGUUCGGUCUCCUAUCUGUCGCGGGCGUAAAGAUUUGAGGGGGCGCUUCCCUAGUACGAGAGGACCGGGAAGCACGAACCUCUGGUGUACCAGUUGUUCCACCAGGAGCAUUGCUGGGUAGCUACGUUCGGUUAGGAUAAGCGCUGAAAGCAUCUAAGCGCGAAGCCGUCCCCAAGAUUAGAUCUUAGAAAUCCUUCAAGAUUAGAAGGUUGAUAGGCUCUAGGUGGAAGCUCCGCAAGGAGUGUAGCCGAGGAGUACUAAUCAU
rnacentral:rRNA from 1 species